AAAAUUAAAUAUGCAAAAGAAAAUCUUUAUUUAUUGCUUACCUGUUUGUUUUAUUUCAAAGAUCAUAACAAAAGUAGUAUAGUUUCAGUUCCUCAAUGUCGGAACAUGGAAUAAAUCUAGAAACAUGUGCUCUUAAAACAUACGUGAUUUAUUGUCACUGGUGCCUAUUUGCUCAGAAACAAGAGUUGCAUGGCAAGAAGUCGACGCCUCAAGUGGAAAGGAAGAGUAUUUUUCUUGAAGCCAUAAAAAAGCCAAGAGAUGGUGUGACUAAUGGGCGGAACGGUGCUUUGAGGCUCUGUAGCCACUCAUUGAUGGACACUGGCACUUUGGGCUCUGCACCAUCUGAGCGAAGACCUUCCCUCCAGAAGUUGAAGCCACUUCCCAAGAUAAAAAUGACUAAAAUUGGUUCCUUUGAAGACGACAUGGAGACGGCUGAACGCACACAGCACAGUCCCAGUCACACCAUGGUUCACACUGGUACUUUGGAUUCUGAACCAUUUCAGAGAAGACUGGGCAUCCAGAAGCUGAAGCCACUUCCCAAGAUAAAGAUGAGUACAGCCAGUUCUUCUGAAAAGGUCACGGUAACUGCUGCACACACACACUGUAGCCAUACCAUGUACUCUGUUGCUACACCCGAGACCUUGACGGCAACCAGUUCCUGGCUCACUCCUGUCAGUAAUCUGCAGCCUUCCAGGGACCAACUGGAAACAACAGUAGAAAAUUUGGUGGACAGCAUCAUGGACUAUCAGUUCCCCUAUUCUUACGAGUGCACACCAUCAAAUGAGAUGAAUUAACAAGUGGUGGACGGACAUCUGCCCUACGAAAGGAAGAUGUAACCUGGCCUCUAUUGGCGAGGCUUGCACCCUAUCCUUCCCAGCUGCCCUGCCACUUUGGGGUGGUCUUGGCACCUCAGUAUCCCCAGCCAGAGAAAAAGACCCAAAUCCACUAGAGGCUGGUGACAUGGCCUCAUUUGUGCCUCCUCGCCUUUGGGGUCUGUGGCUGCUGAUCAACACCAGGUCCUCGUCGCACCUUGAAGUGGAAAUAAGAGCGCCGAAGCAAAGUGGCUCAACAGACCAGGGAUAAACAGGUACAUAAUCUGCACGUAUCAGGAAGCUGUGAUGAAUUUAUAUCUUUAUUUACAGUGUAAUUCAAAAUAUGGAUAAAAAUGCUGAAGAAAGAGAUGAUAGAGGUGGAUUGGUUAACACAAAAUUAUGCUAUUUAAAAUUAAUUAGACUGAUGCAAAGCAAAGCCCAA
rnacentral:lncRNA from 1 species